GGGAGGCAGCAGUGGGGAAUAUUGCACAAUGGGGGGAACCCUGAUGCAGCGACGCCGCGUGAGGGAAGAAGGUUUUCGGAUUGUAAACCUCUGUCCUCUGUGACGAUAAUGACGGUAGCAGAGGAGGAAGCCACGGCUAACUACGUGCCGGCAACCGCGGUAAUACGUAGGUGGCGAGCGUUAUCCGGAAUUACUGGGUGUAAAGGGAGCGUAGGCGGGGGAACAAGUUGAAUGUUUAAGAUAUGGGCUCAACUCAUAUAAGCGUUCAAAACUGUUUUUCUUGAGUGAAGUAGAGGUAAGCGGAAUUCCUAGUGUAGCGGUGGAAUGCGUAAAUAUUAGGAGGAACACCAGUGGCGAAGGCGGCUUACUGGGCUUUAACUGACGCUGAGGCUCGAAAGCGUGGGUAGCAAACAGGAUUAGAUACCCUGGUAGUC
rnacentral:rRNA from 1 species